CCCGGGAGAGACUAAGAAGCAAUCCUCCCACGCGCUUUCUCCCACCCUCGGGCCACUGAGACGGAGGGACAGAGGGCCGCCCUCGCGCGGCCGAGGCCCCGCCUCCCGCUCGCCCGCCCGCGCCUCCAGCGGAAGCCGGAAGCAAAAGCGGGUCCUGCUAGCCCCGCGGCUCCGAACUCGGUGGUCCCGGAAGCUCCGCAGGAUGGGGGAGAAGAUGGCGGAAGAGGAGAGGUUCCCCAAUACUACUCAUGAGGGUUUCAAUGUCACCCUCCACACCACCCUGGUUGUCACGACGAAACUGGUGCUCCCGACCCCUGGCAAGCCCAUCCUCCCCGUGCAGACAGGGGAGCAGGCCCAGCAAGAGGAGCAGUCCAGCGGCAUGACCAUUUUCUUCAGCCUCCUUGUCCUAGCUAUCUGCAUCAUAUUGGUGCAUUUACUGAUCCGAUACAGAUUACAUUUCUUGCCAGAGAGUGUUGCUGUUGUUUCUUUAGGUAUUCUCAUGGGAGCAGUUAUAAAAAUUAUAGAGUUUAAAAAACUGGCGAAUUGGAAGGAAGAAGAAAUGUUUCGUCCAAACAUGUUUUUCCUCCUCCUGCUUCCCCCUAUUAUCUUUGAGUCUGGAUAUUCAUUACACAAGGGUAACUUCUUUCAAAAUAUUGGUUCCAUCACCCUGUUUGCUGUUUUUGGGACGGCAAUCUCCGCUUUUGUAGUAGGUGGAGGAAUUUAUUUUCUGGGUCAGGCUGAUGUAAUCUCUAAACUCAACAUGACAGACAGUUUUGCGUUUGGCUCCCUAAUAUCUGCUGUCGAUCCAGUGGCCACUAUUGCUAUUUUCAAUGCACUUCAUGUGGACCCCGUGCUCAACAUGCUGGUCUUUGGAGAAAGUAUUCUCAAUGAUGCAGUCUCCAUUGUUCUGACCAACACAGCUGAAGGUUUAACAAGAAAAAAUAUGUCAGAUGUCAGUGGGUGGCAAACAUUUUUACAAGCCCUUGACUACUUCCUCAAAAUGUUCUUUGGCUCUGCAGCGCUCGGCACUCUCACUGGCUUAAUUUCUGCAUUAGUGCUGAAGCAUAUUGACUUGAGGAAAACGCCUUCCUUGGAGUUUGGCAUGAUGAUCAUUUUUGCUUAUCUGCCUUAUGGGCUUGCAGAAGGAAUCUCACUCUCAGGCAUCAUGGCCAUCCUGUUCUCAGGCAUCGUGAUGUCCCACUACACGCACCAUAACCUCUCCCCAGUCACCCAGAUCCUCAUGCAGCAGACCCUCCGCACUGUGGCCUUCUUAUGUGAAACAUGUGUGUUUGCAUUUCUUGGCCUGUCCAUUUUUAGUUUUCCUCACAAGUUUGAAAUUUCCUUUGUCAUCUGGUGCAUAGUGCUUGUACUAUUUGGCAGAGCGGUAAACAUUUUCCCUCUUUCCUACCUCCUGAAUUUCUUCCGGGAUCAUAAAAUCACACCGAAGAUGAUGUUCAUCAUGUGGUUUAGUGGCCUGCGGGGAGCCAUCCCCUACGCCCUGAGCCUACACCUGGACCUGGAGCCCAUGGAGAAGCGGCAGCUCAUCGGCACCACCACCAUUGUCAUCGUGCUCUUCACCAUCCUGCUGCUGGGCGGCAGCACCAUGCCCCUCAUUCGCCUCAUGGACAUCGAGGACACCAAGGCACGCCGCAGGAACAAGAAGGACGUCAACCUCAGCAAGACUGAGAAGAUGGCUCCCAGGAGGCCGUCUGCUGCCCAUCACCCUGCAUUGAUGGUCAAGUGAAGUUAGGGUUGGGGACACUGGCGGCCUAGGUGGUGUGGGGGCUUCCAGGAGGUGCCCCCCGAUGGUGCCAGCUGGUGGCCGUCGGGCCGCCUUUCCUCCCUGCUCAGGGCAACACUGUGGAGUCGGAGCACCUGUCGGAGCUCACGGAGGAGGAGUACGAGGCCCACUACAUCAGGCGGCAGGACCUUAAGGGCUUCGUGUGGCUGGAUGCCAAGUACCUGAACCCCUUCUUCACUCGGAGGCUGACGCAGGAGGACCUGCACCACGGGCGCAUCCAGAUGAAAACUCUCACCAACAAGUGGUACGAGGAGGUACGCCAGGGCCCCUCCGGCUCCGAGGACGACGAGCAGGAGCUGCUCUGACGCCAGGUGCCAAGGCUUCAGGCAGGCAGGCCCAGGAUGGGCGUUUGCUGCGCACAGACACUCAGCAAGGGCCUCACAGAGAUGCGUGCAUCCAGCAGCCCCUUCAAGACAUAAGAGGGCGGGGCGAGGUACUGGCUGCAGAGUCGCCUUAGUCCAGAACCUGACAGGCCUCUGGAGCCAGGCAACUUCUUGGGAAACUGUCAUCUCCCGACUCCUCCCUGAGCCAGCCUCCGCUCAGUGUGGCUCCUCAGCCCACAGAGGGGAGGGAGCAUGGGGCCAGGUGCCAGUCAUCUGUGAAGCUGGGGCACCUACCCCCCCACCCGGAGGACCCCUGCGGCCCCCUGCCUAGAGGAGCACCAUCUACAGUUGUGCCAUUCCCCAGCCACUGCCUUCAUGCUGCCCCCGCCGGACUGGCAGAGCCAGGGGUCAGCCACCUGCCUUUGAGUCAUCAAGAUGCCUCUGCAGCCACAAUUCUGACCUAAGUGGCAGGGCCCAGAAAUCCUGAAAACCUCCCGCUGCCUUUUGUGAUACUUCCUGUGCUCCCUCAGAGAGAAACGGAGUGACCUUUUGUCCUUUACCUGAUUGGCACUUCGCAGUCUGUCUCCCUGGGUAGCAGACGGCGGCUGCCCUUCUCUGGGCAUGUUCUGAAUGUUUACACUGGUACCUUCUGGUAUCUUCUUUAGAGCCCCCUGCAAGCUGCAACUCUAGGCUUUUAUCUUGCGGGGUCAGAGCGCCCUCUAGAGGGAAAAGCUAGAGGCACAGGGUUUCUGCCGGCCCACAACUGCUGUCUUGAUUUGCAUUUUACAGCAAAGUGCUGAGAGUCUCCAGUCGCCUCCUGCCAUCUGAUCUCCCUCCCCACCAUUCCCGUACUCGGUUGUUCUUUUGUCUAAUCGGAGGCCACUGUGCUGAGGCCCUGCAGUGUCGGCUCACUGCUGCCAUCUUCGCUGCUAAUCAGGGUUCCAUCCUCUUUCCCCUCUCCCAGUUCCCUACCACGUUGGAUCCCAUUCGUCACCCAUGCUAGGGUCCCCAAAGCACUGGGGCAGGGGCCAGAGCAGCAGCACCCAGUUCUCCCUCCUCUACUCUGACCUGGGGCCCCAGCAUCCUGGAGCACACGCUCCACGCACACACACCCCAGCCCUGUCCCAGGGGCCUGGCCCCCUCAGCCAUCUCAGGGUGAGGAGCUGCCAGUCAUGUCCAGAUGGAAUGACUCCCAUCCUCUCCUCAUCUCCCCUUUGACGAGCCUCAAACUGCUCAGCUCAUCAAAGAGCCAUUGCCAACUUCCGUAUGUGGUUCUGGGUCCCAGGGAGCCUUGGAACCUGGCACCCUGGGGUGGUUUAAUUCAUCAUUAAGAAGCAUUCCUGCUUCUCAAGGGACACAGUGGCCUGCAUGGGCCAGCGUGGACCCUGGGCUGAUCAUGUGCAUUCCUGCUUCUCUGGGGACACAGUGGGCCCACAUGGGCCAGCAUGGACCCUGGGCUAGAGCAAACACAUCUCCAUCUCUUCCACCUCAGGCAGUGUGGCUCCAGAUGUCAGGAGGGACUGACCUCAGGACCUUCCAGGUUCCUCUGUGCCAGGAAUGAGAGGCCAGGCCCGAUCCUACCACCUCGCCUUGACCCUGAAGUCAGAGCAGGCCAGCCGAGCAGGAAGCACACUGUUUACUUUUUGCAUGAAAAGUAAAUGUGUACUUGAUAGAGCUAAAAUAUGAUUUUUUUUAAUUCCUCAACCCCAUAAUUUGAGCCAUUGCCUUGCUUAAUUUUGGUCUCCACCAUUUCCUUUUAGUGGAGAAGAGAGGAAGUCAGAGGGUGGGGACCUUUGCCUGCCCCUGGGCGAGUGGGGGCAGGGAUCUGAGACCAGAUUGUUCUCGCGCCCCUGCCAGAACUCACUCUCCCCUGAAGUUUAGGGUCCCAUCUCCCAGAUAUAAGUUGUUUUGCAAACUCAGUUUGCCAGGAUUUCUUUCUUUCCUAAUCUUAAAUUCACAGAUAAAGCAAUGAAAAGAGUCAGAUCCCAUUUCCGUCUGCCCCCUCGUCACCAGGUGUGAUAGCCCUUAGCCACGUCACACCUGGCCUCACACUUUCAGCUGAGACUUGAAAACGAUGCUGUGGCGGAAGAGCAUGUGGGGCUUGGUGGAGGGGCCCCAGGAUUUGUUGGGGGCAAAGGGGGUGGCGGGACCGUUCCCAGGAGGUACCAGCACCUGCCUCGAUCUCCUCUGAGCCUCUUCUGCCCCCUGUCGGCCAGGUGAGGUCAGCAGCCUGGGAGAGUGCCCCCAAGAGAUGAGGGCACCCCGUGUUCCUUGGCAAUCUUGGCUCACCUUGGUAACAAAAGGCCAUAGAAGUCUGUUUUUCUGGGUCAAUUUUUUUUGCCUGAGAAUAACAAAUUGCUGCUGUCUACCUUUAGCACACCCAAUAAUUCUAUUUGGGGCAGUGAAUGCAUAGAAGAUAUAAAAAUACGCAGCUUAACUAUAUCUUCCUGCGUGUGUAUUUAUUUUCUUCUGGGUCUAGGCCAUGGUACAGGAGAACUGUGGUGUGUAGGAGGAAUACUUCAGGAUGAGUGAAGGCUGGAGCCAGGGAGCGCUGGAGGAAACCAGCCCUUUAGCCAGCAGCCCCUCCACCACAGGCGCUGCUGUGUAGAACGAGUUCUUGGAAUGAAUCCCAUGCUUUCUGCAGCCUGUAGUUGUUAUGACCCCUCGGAACAACCACCCCCUGUGGCUUGUGUGAGGUCUCGCAGGGAAAAGGGCUGGCUUCUAGGUCCCCGAGGUAAGUGUGCAGGGGGAUGGGCCAGGGCCAGGCUAAGGGUGGCUCAGUUCCAUCAUCUGCAGGUCAGACACACUGUCCAGAGGCAGAACUGAAGCCCUCUCGGCCCCUACCCUAAGCCAGCCACCCCUCUUCACAGUGGGUGAGCUGGGCCGGGCUGGCUGGCAUGAGGCCAAGGGGCAGGCCUGAGCGCCAGAGUCGCCCAGGUUAGCCCACAGGAUUCCUUUGUGUGCCAUGGAAUGCUGAAAGAUGGGUGACUGGGGACCCUUCUUAAAACCUUUGGCAAAGGUGCCAUCGGCAAGGCUUGGCCUCAUGAAGUCUCAGGUCCCUGUUCCCGCAGGGCGCACAUGCUUGGAGAGUCCUCAGCAGGGUAGCCGAGGCCAGGCCACUUCUGCUGAGGAUGGGGCAGGCUGGGGUGUGGGUGUGGCCUGGGGUGGCUCAGGGCUGGAACUGCUGCCUGAUUCCUGUGUGGGGAGAAGCUCAGUGGCCGUUUGCUGCCACUGACAAGGAUUUCACAUGCAGAAGAGAAAAGGCCCCCCUCCACCCCCCGCAUUCCCUGCCGAGUGAGUGCCAGUGUUUGCUGCCCUUGCUGGGGGCGGGUAGGAAACCCUGAGCUUCCUGAUGCGGAGUCAUGAAGCAGAGUCCUCGGGAAGGCAUCUCCACAGCCCCGGGUCCUCUGUCUAACGCCCUCCGUUUCACGCCCUCCAUCUCACAGUCAAGAUAAAGGCCUCGAGAAUAAAGAGCCAGCCCCCUUCCAUUUAGUCUCCUGCCAUUUCCCAAACAGUUGUCCAACAGUUAGACAUUGAGGGGCUUCACUGUUAUCAGGCAUGUAACAGAAGGAGAAAGACUAACACACACCCCCUGCCCCAUCCCAUCCCCCUCUCCCGAGCUAUUUUCUUGCUGUGGCCUCUGGUGCCCUUGAGUUGGUCUCCCCGGCUGCUCUGCGGGGGCUUCACUGGCUUCGGAGUGAGCGCGAAAUGCUGGUGAGCAGUGGGCCUGUGAUUGGAUGGGAAGAUGUGCAUCCGUGGUCAAAAGUCAGCUGCCAGCCCUGCGGAGCCAGAGCCUCAGGCUGGGAUGGGGAGGCCUCCCUGCUUCCACCUGCAUGGUGGGCAUGGCCUGGCUUACACCAAAGGCUUUGACGGUUUCUCCAAGUAGGGAUCUGCAAAUCUUGAAUUGUCCUCAAAAUGACGAAGCUUGAAUUGUCCUCAAGAUGGAUGUGAAUCUUACAUUCCUUUUCAUCAUUUCCUUUGUAAAAAUGACGAGUGCUGGGUUUUUGUUUUAAGAAGCAUUAUGAAGGCCAGACUUACUCAUUUUUCUCCCCCAAGUGAGCUGCAAGAGGCCCGUUAGGCCCCUGUUUCCUGAGCAGUGAUGUGCUGCUCUUCUUGGUGGGGCUUUGGGCUGGGAGGGGAAGGCGGGUCAGAGAUGGGGGACCUGUGGCUGCCAUGCAGGAGCCCCUGCGUCAUCUCGUUGGACUCUUUAAGGGAGUCAGGAAUAGAUGUAUGAACAGUCGUGCCACUGGAUGCCUAUUUAGAAAUAAAGUGUAUGCUGCUGAAUUGGA